rnacentral:lncRNA from 1 species
GUACCGGAAGUGCUAGCCACAGCGACUUCAGAGUCUUGCUCUGUCACCUACACUGGAAUUCAGUGGCACAGUCUCAGCUCAGCUCACUGCAACCUCCACCUCCCGGGUUCAAGUGAUUCUCAUACCUCAGCCUCCUGAGUAGCUGGGAUUACAGAGACCUGGACUUAAUCUCAGCUGGUGUACAGAGUUCUCUCCAAAAACAAGUGGCCUACUUCACAUUCAGUGAAUUGAUAUAUUCUUAUUUUAAGUUAUCAGACAUGUAUAAUGAAGAUCACUAUGACAGAGAGGAGAAAGAGAAAGGAAAGGAUGACCAGAGAAAUGACCAAAUAUUUAGUGGAUGGAUUUACCUUUCUAGAAUGCUUGGUUGGAUCCUGGAACUGCAGGAAAAAAAGUCCUUGGGAAUUGAGAAGCCAAUGAGAUUAGUCGUUCAAGCUGAAGUCAUUCUAUCUGCUAGCUGUCUGGAGCCACUGAAGCUGUGGGCGAACAGCAACAAGUUUAAGCUACAUCUGCACACUCUGCGGUCCAUCCAGAGACCAAGAAAGAAGCACAAGGAUCCUGCAGAGUCUUCCGAAGCCCAAGCCAAAUAUAUGAGGCAGGGAGCUAGAGAAUGUGGAGGAAGUGGUCAGUAGGAAAAGGAAUGGGAACAGACAUUCUCCUUCAGAAACUUGAGGUCCAGUCCCUGAACUUUAGCUGGCCCCAAAACUUGAGCAAGCUCUAAAAAGCAGAACAUCUCCCACUUAACAGUUUAUUCUGAGAACUGGCCAACCACAGGAGGGAAAAUCAUAUCUCCAGUUAAAGUGCCCUGAUCAUGCCAUCUGCUCAUCCUACCCCCUUUGCCCUGCUCCCACACAAAGUUCCUGCUAGCCCUGUUUACGUCUUCUUUUUUAAACUCUUUUUUUAAAAUUUGAUUUUUAGACAUUUGAAGAUUUCCAUGGUCAGAGGGUCUGUAAUAGUCUUUUUUGAAUAAAGCUGCUC